rnacentral:rRNA from 1 species
CCUACGGGUGGCAGCAGUGAGGAAUAUUGGUCAAUGGACGAGAGUCUGAACCAGCCAAGUAGCGUGAAGGAUGACUGCCCUAUGGGUUGUAAACUUCUUUUAUAUGGGAAUAAAAUGUUCCACGUGUGGGAUUUUGUAUGUACCAUAUGAAUAAGGAUCGGCUAACUCCGGGCCAGCAGCCGCGGUAAUACGGAGGAUCCGAGCGUUAUCCGGAUUUAUUGGGUUUAACGGGAGCGUAGGUGGAUUGUUAAGUCAGUUGUGAAAGUUUGCGGCUCAACCGUAAAAUUGCAGUUGAAACUGGCAAGCUUGAGUACAGUAGAGGUGGGCGGAAUUCGUGGUGUAGCGGUGAAAUGCUUAGAUAUCACGAAGAACACCGAUUGCGAAGGCAGUUCACUGGACUGCAACUGACACUGAGGCUCGAAAGUGUGGGUAUCAAACAGGAUUAGAUACCCGUGUAGUC